ACGCCACCUUCCCCAUGCGCUUCCCUUCUCCUCCUCCUUCUCCUCCUCCUGCCGCGUGCUCACCGUGUUUAAGGCUUAAAAUGGCGGCCACGGAGGGCCUGAGGCCCAUGGGUGCAGGGGAGAGAAAAAAGCAGGGGCCAGCGGUUGAAAGAGCAACUAUGCCCUCUUGGGAAGGUGCUGCUUGCCAAAGAAAUAGAUGAACGUGACGCUGGCCAUCUACCAUCCACUCAGUCUCGUGUUUCCUGUUUUGUCAUGUAGGAUCUUAAUCAACAUGAAAAGCAGCAUCACAUCCUCACCUGACACCUGUGGUACUGAAAGAAACCAAUGAAGGAGUUGAAAUGCUUGGUACAAGAUGUC